UGGGGAAUAUUGGACAAUGGGGGGAACCCUGAUCCAGCCAUGCCGCGUGUGUGAAGAAGGCCUUAUGGUUGUAAAGCACUUUAAGCGAGGAGGAGGGUACUGGUAUUAAUACUACCAGGUACUGGACGUUACUCGCAGAAUAAGCACCGGCUAACUCUGUGCCAGCAGCCGCGGUAAUACAGAGGGUGCGAGCGUUAAUCGGAUUUACUGGGCGUAAAGCGUGCGUAGGCGGCUAAUUGAGUCGGAUGUGAAAUCCCCGAGCUUAACUUGGGAAUUGCAUUCGAUACUGGUUAGCUAGAGUGUGGGAGAGGAUGGUAGAAUUCCAGGUGUAGAGGUGAAAUGCGUAGAGAUAUGGAGGAAUACCGAUGGCGAAGGCAGCCAUCUGGCCUAACACUGACGCUGAGGUACGAAAGCAUGGGGAGCAAACAGG
rnacentral:rRNA from 1 species